rnacentral:misc_RNA from 1 species
CAACCCUCAAGCUCAGCUUGGUAUUAGGCUUCACCCUUAGGGGCGGGCUUUAAAAUCAGUGGCGGUGCCAUUCGGCUUCAAGCGUAGUAAUUUCUCUCGCUUUGGAGGUCCGGCUGCGUGCCUGCCAGCAACCCCAAUUUUUUAAA